rnacentral:rRNA from 1 species
AACCUCGGGAAACUGAGGAUAAACCACGAUAAGUCACUACUUCUGGAAUGGGUAAUGACUCAAAUCUAUAUGGCCUCUGGAUUGGACUGCGGCCGAUCAGGCUGUUGGUGAGGUAAUGGCCCACCAAACCUGUAACCGGUACGGGCUCUGAGAGGAGGAGCCCGGAGAUGGGCACUGAGACAAGGGCCCAGGCCCUAUGGGGCGCAGCAGGCGCGAAACCUCUGCAAUAGGCGAAAGCUUGACAGGGUUACUCUGAGUGAUUUCCGUUAAGGAGAUCUUUUGGCAUCUCUAAAAAUGAUGCAGAAUAAGGGGUGGGCAAGUCUGGUGUCAGCCGCCGCGGUAAUACCAGCACCCCGAGUGGUCGGGACGUUUAUUGGGCCUAAAGCAUCCGUAGCCGGUUCUACAAGUCUUCCGUUAAAUCCAACUGCUUAACAGGUGGGCUGCGGAAGAUACUAUAGAGCUAGGAGGCGGGAGAGGCAAGCGGUACUCGAUGGGUAGGGGUAAAAUCCGUUGAUCCAUUGAAGACCACCAGUGGCGAAGGCGGCUUGCCAGAACGCGCUCGACGGUGAGGGAUGAAAGCUGGGGGAGCAAACCGGAUUAGAUACCCGGGUAGUCCCAGCUGUAAACGAUGCAGACUCGGUGAUGAGUUGGCUAUAUGCCAACUCAGUGCCGCAGGGAAGCCGUUAAGUCUGCCGCCUGGGGAGUCCGC